GGGCGCGUAGCUCAGCUGGGAGAGCACCUGCCUUACAAGCAGGGGGUCACAGGUUCGAGCCCUGUCGCGCCCACCA
rnacentral:tRNA from 3 species